rnacentral:rRNA from 1 species
GACGAACGCUGGCGGCGUGCUUAACACAUGCAAGUCGAACGAUGAUGCCCAGCUUGCUGGGUGGAUUAGUGGCGAACGGGUGAGUAACACGUGAGUAACCUGCCCCUGACUCUGGGAUAAGCGUUGGAAACGACGUCUAAUACUGGAUAUGACUGCCGGCCGCAUGGUCUGGGGGUGGAAAGAUUUUUUGGUUGGGGAUGGACUCGCGGCCUAUCAGCUUGUUGGUGAGGUAAUGGCUCACCAAGGCGACGACGGGUAGACGGCCUGAGAGGGUGACCGGCCACACUGGGACUGAGACACGGCCCAGACUCCUACGGGAGGCAGCAGUGGGGAAUAUUGGACAAUGGGCGGAAGCCUGAUGCAGCAACGCCGCGUGAGGGAUGACGGCCUUCGGGUUGUAAACCUCUUUUAGUAGGGAAGAAGCGAAAGUGACGGUACCUGCAGAAAAAGCACCGGCUAACUACGUGCCAGCCGCCGCGGUAA